rnacentral:rRNA from 1 species
UACGAAGGGGGCUAGCGUUGCUCGGAAUGACUGGGCGUAAAGGGCGCGUAGGCGGCGCAGUUAGUCAGGCGUGAAAUUCCUGGGCUCAACCUGGGGACUGCGCUUGAUACGGCUGUGCUUGAGGAUGGAAGAGGCUCGCGGAAUUCCCAGUGUAGAGGUGAAAUUCGUAGAUAUUCGCAAGAACACCAGUGGCGAAGGCGGCUCACUGCCCGGUACUGACGCUGAGGUGCGAAAGCGUGGGGAGCAACAGG